rnacentral:snRNA from 1 species
GUGCUCGCUUUGGCAGCACAUAUACUAAAACUGGAACAAUACAGAGAAGAUUAGCAUAGCCCCUGCACAAGAAUGAUAUGCAAAUUCAUGAAGUGUUCCAUAUUUUU